AUUGAACGCUGGCGGCAGGCCUAACACAUGCAAGUCGAGCGGAGGGGCGGACGGGUGAGUAAUGCCUAGGAAUCGGCCUGGGAGUGGGGGAUCACGUUCGGAAACGGGCGCUAAUACCGCAUACUCUCAGAUGAGCCUGGGUCGGAUUAGGGAGUUGGUGGGGGAAAGGCACACCAAGGCGACGAUCCGUAACUGGUCUGAGAGGAUGACCAGUCACACUGGAACUGAGACACGGUCCAUACUCCUACGGGAGGCAGCAGUGGGGAAUAUUGGACAAUGGGCGAAAGCCUGAUCCAGCCAUGCCGCGUGUGUGAAGAAGGUCUUCGGAUUGUAAAGCACUUGAAGUUGGGAGGCGUUACCAACAGAAGAAGCACCGGCUAACUUCGUGCCAGCAGCCGCGGUAAUAC
rnacentral:rRNA from 1 species